rnacentral:rRNA from 1 species
AUACGGAGGAUCCGAGCGUUAUCCGGGUUUAUUGGGUUUAAAGGGUGCGCAGGCGGGAGAUUAAGUCGGCGGUGAAAUUUUGCAGCUCCACUGUAAAAGUGCCUUCGAAACUGGUUUCCUUGAGUGUAGAUGAAGUAGGCGGGAUUUGUGGUGUAGCGGUGAAAUGCAUAGAUAUCACGAGGAACUCCGAUUGCGCAGGCAGCUUACUAAACUACUACUGACGCUCAGGCACGAAGGCGUGGGGAUCAAACAGGAUUAGAUACCCUGGUAGUCCACGCAGUAAACGAUGAUUACUAGCUGUUUGCGAUACAAUGUAAGCGGCUGAGCGAAAGCGUUAAGUAAUCCACCUGGGGAGUACGUUCGCAAGAAUGAAACUCAAAGGAAUUGACGGGG